GACGAACGCUGGCGGCGUGCUUAACACAUGCAAGUCGAACGGAAAGGCCCUGCUUGCAGGGUCCUCGAGUGGCGAACGGGUGAGUAACACGUGGGUGAUCUGCCCUGCACUUCGGGAUAAGCCUGGGAAACUGGGUCUAAUACCGGAUAGGAGCCAUUUUUAGUGUGAUGGUUGGAAAGUUUUUUCGGUGUAGGAUGAGCUCGCGGCCUAUCAGCUUGUUGGUGGGGUAAUGGCCUACCAAGGCGGCGACGGGUAGCCGGCCUGAGAGGGUGGACGGCCACAUUGGGACUGAGAUACGGCCCAGACGCCUACGGGAGGCAGCAGUGGGGAAGAUUGCACAAUGGGCGCAAGCCUGAUGCAGCGACGCCGCGUGGGGGAUGACGGCCUUCGGGUUGGAAACUCCUUUCGCUAGGGACGAAGCUUUUUGUGACGGUACCUAGAUAAGAAGCACCGGCUAACUACGUG
rnacentral:rRNA from 1 species